AUUGAACGCUGGCGGCAUGCCUUACACAUGUAAGUCGAACGGUAACAGGUCUUCGGAUGCUGACGAGUGGCGAACGGGUGAGUAAUAUAUCGGAACGUGCCCGAUCGUGGGGGAUAACGAAGCGAAAGCUUUGCUAAUACCGCAUACGAUCUACGGAUGAAAGCAGGGGACCGCAAGGCCUUGCGCGAACGGAGCGGCCGAUGGCAGAUUAGGUAGUUGGUGGGAUAAAAGCUUACCAAGCCGACGAUCUGUAGCUGGUCUGAGAGGACGACCAGCCACACUGGGACUGAGACACGGCCCAGACUCCUACGGGAGGCAGCAGUGGGGAAUUUUGGACAAUGGGCGAAAGCCUGAUCCAGCCAUGCCGCGUGCAGGAUGAAGGCCUUCGGGUUGUAAACUGCUUUUGUACGGAACGAAAAGACUCUGGUUAAUACCUGGGGUCCAUGACGGUACCGUAAGAAUAAGCACCGGCUAACUACGUGCCAGCCGCCGCAGUAA
rnacentral:rRNA from 1 species